AAAGAAAACGAAUUGAAUUGUAGACUCAAGAAAAAAAAAGAAAAUUUGUUUUUGUUUUUCUAUAAAAAUCAUAUAACGGAAAAUCGUCUAUUGCGCACUAUUAACACUAACCGUAUUUUUUUUUUUUUUAAUAAUUAAUAAAAUCGUAUCGGUGAGGUGAGACAUUAAAAGCACACAAAAUCCAGCAAAACUUAUAUAGAAACAUUUUUGUGUUUAAAGUAUAUAUUUCUUUUGUAUCCGAUUUAUAUAAAAAAAAAAGAAGCUGAAAUUGUUGUGUGGAAAAUAAGGUAACAUUCACGGUUUCUCUAACACCUUAUGUAAAAACAAUCUGUAAAAUUGUACAGAAAAGAAAUAUUAUGCAAAAAAAAAAAGAAAAGAAAGGCUAUAGCAAUGCUGAACGCAAUUAGAUCUUUGCAAGACAAAUUCCUUUUAUUCAAUGAUAUGAAAAAAGAUAUUUUUUUUUUUUUUUUUUAUAUAGCAAAGAAAGAUUAUCUUUGCUGUGCUGCCUGCUUUAUAAUAUACUUAUUACUAUGUUUAUUAAGAAUACAAAAAAGGAAGUAAAAAAAAAAUAAAAUAAAAAAAACAAAAAAAAAAAACUACACCUGAAACAAAAAAUUUUAUUGUUAUUCUUUUCAUCCUCUCUUCAUAUCUUCAUUACUACACGGGCAUAAUCGUCUUAUUUUCCUCAUAACAAUUUUUUUUUUUCUUUUACUCGAUAUCAUACAAUUGACAAUAUUUUUACCUUUAAAUAAUCUGCUUGUGGAUAUUGAAAGUUUACCUUUCCACGACUCAUACGAAAAUGUUAGUUUAACAAUGGUCUUUGAACAAUGAAAAUGAAGGCCCUUUCUUUUUUUUUUUUUUUUUUGGAAUUGGAUGGCAGAAGGAUGUAUAUGAGGAAGCGAAAAAUGCUUCUAAUAAUGGAAGAUCUCCUUCUGAUAACCUUUUUGCUUGUGCAAGCGACCGCAAGACAAUAAUUUGUUUCGAAUCCGUUUAUAUUUCUUGAUGCACUUACUGUUUUUAAGAACGACAGUCUCUCUACGCAUGCUCAUCUGUUGUCUGCUGGUUGUUAAGAGCAGACCCCCGUGUAUACAGUCCUUUUUCUUUGUUUGAUCAGUUGCAGAGAUCCGUUAUUUUUCGAAAAUAUUUAAUGCAAUCAUCAUCUAAGGUGUUGAAGAUCCAGGCCAUAUAUGGCUUAAAUCCUACAAUGUACAUAUACUUAGCUUUGAAUAAAGUUUACAAACCAAUGCUCUGUGUGCGUAUGUGCGUGUGUUCUUUGGGUUAGCAGUUCACUACCGUUUGCGAGCUCAAAAUGUGAAAAUAUGUAUGACGUUCCUGUGCGGCCGAGAUUUUUUUCUCAAUAGACGAUUAUAUGGAUGCGAAUAUGACUCUGCCUUGUUUUCUCAAGGACAAGUUUAUUUUAGUCCUAUAAUGAAUCAAGGUUUAAUAGAACAGUUCUUUUAAAUAUUCUAGUAUAUUACUAGAAUAAUUGAUAUUUUUAUUUCUUUAUUAUUUUUAUAUUUUUUUAAUUCUUCAGAAGACUUUGUGAAAGGCUCUUAUUAAUUAUUAUCAUUUUAUUGACGUUUUCGUAGCCAAAGGACGAGAAUUGUUGGCCCGCUUUCAUUUAUUAUUCGUCUAUAUGUUUUCAAUUAAUUUGUUUUGCCAAUGGGUUUUGUCAAGUUUGAACAUAUUUGAACAGUCGCACGGGCGAGCAACCGGGGAAAACCGGUGUUCCUCUUGAAAUAUAUAUAAAUGUAAUCGUUUCCAAAUAAGUUGAAUUAAUGAGUGAUGUGCUCGAGCUGUUGGAGGAGGCAACACAACAAUUGAUUAAAGUAGAACAACAAGUAAAAGAUUGUCGUCUUUAUAAUCUGUUUGUCUUUUCCUUCAGCCUUAAACUAAAAUGAUUAAAAUAUGAUUUCAAUUUAUUUAUUAUUUACUUGGCGCAAAAUACAUAUAUGUUUAAAUUAAUUUUGCAAAAAAAAAAAAAGAAAAAAAGAGUCCCACCUCCCCGAGACAUUUUUUUUUUUUAAAUAUAACCGAUCUUUUUACACUGAAAAUUUUGACCGUAGUAGAGCUAAAAUUGCUAUCAAAAAAAAAAAAAAAUCGUACUUUACUCAUUUUACUUGUGUUUUUUCUUUGUAAUUAUAAUUAACAUAAAAAAAAACGCAAUGAAUGCAAAAAUCGAAAAAAACAAAACUUAAAAUUAAAAAUCAAUCAAUCAAUCGAUCGUGUCUCUCGGGCCAAACGAAUCAAACAUAACGUAUUUUAUAAUAAUAAAAGAUUAUGGGUACGGCGGCGCCUACGAUGGCUAUGGCGGUAGCGGCUACAGUAGUGGAGGUGGCGGUGGUCGCGGCGCUGGUGGCCCUCGUGCUGGUCCCAAAGGAGGCUCUGGCGGUUACCAAUCUGGCAAACAAAGAGGGACGGGACGCCAACCUAGACAUCAGCCUUACUAAAAGCAAAACGAAAAAAAG